rnacentral:rRNA from 1 species
GAGUUUGAUCCUGGCUCAGGAUGAACGCUAGCGACAGGCUUAACACAUGCAAGUCGAGGGGCAGCGGGGGUGAUGGCUUGCCAUCACCUGCCGGCGACCGGCGCACGGGUGAGUAACACGUAUGCAACCUGCCCGCCACAGGGGGAUAAGCGGAAGAAAUUCCGUCUAAUACCGCGUGACGCGGCGCCGGGGCAUCCCGGUGCCGCCAAAGGGAUUACCGGUGGCGGAUGGGCAUGCGGCGCAUUAGCUAGUCGGCGGGGUAACGGCCCACCGAGGCGACGAUGCGUAGGGGUUCUGAGAGGAAGGUCCCCCACACUGGUACUGAGACACGGACCAGACUCCUACGGGAGGCAGCAGUGAGGAAUAUUGGUCAAUGGGCGCGAGCCUGAACCAGCCAAGUCGCGUGAGGGAUGACGGUCCUACGGAUUGUAAACCUCUUUUGCCGGGGAGCAAGCGUGCGUUCGUGAACGCGCGUCGAGAGUACCCGGAGAAAAAGCAUCGGCUAACUCCGUGCCAGCAGCCGCGGUAAUACGGAGGAUGCGAGCGUUAUCCGGAUUUAUUGGGUUUAAAGGGUGCGUAGGCGGGAUGCCAAGUCAGCGGUAAAAAUGCGGUGCUCAACGCCGUCGAGCCGUUGAAACUGGCGUUCUUGAGUGGGCGAGAAGUAUGCGGAAUGCGUGGUGUAGCGGUGAAAUGCAUAGAUAUCACGCAGAACUCCGAUUGCGAAGGCAGCAUACCGGCGCCCUACUGACGCUGAGGCACGAAAGCGUGGGUAUCGAACAGGAUUAGAUACCCUGGUAGUCCACGCAGUAAACGAUGAAUGCUAACUGUCCGGCUCGAAUGAGCGCUGGGCGGUACAGCGAAAGCGUUAAGCAUUCCACCUGGGGAGUACGCCGGCAACGGUGAAACUCAAAGGAAUUGACGG